GGUCGGCGGUGCGAGGAAUACAACACCGCAAGGGAAUAACUCCGCUAGCUAAUAGAUCUAGUUUUGAGCCGCCGACCACCCGAUU
rnacentral:ncRNA from 1 species